rnacentral:rRNA from 1 species
GAUGAACGCUGGCGGCGUGCCUAAUACAUGCAAGUCGAGCGAACAGACGAGGAGCUUGCUCCUCUGACGUUAGCGGCGGACGGGUGAGUAACACGUGGAUAACCUACCUAUAAGACUGGGAUAACUUCGGGAAACCGGAGCUAAUACCGGAUAAUAUAUUGAACCGCAUGGUUCAAUAGUGAAAGACGGUUUUGCUGUCACUUAUAGAUGGAUCCGCGCCGCAUUAGCUAGUUGGUAAGGUAACGGCUUACCAAGGCAACGAUGCGUAGCCGACCUGAGAGGGUGAUCGGCCACACUGGAACUGAGCCACGGUCCAGACUCCUACGGGAGGCAGCAGUAGGGAAUCUUCCGCCAUGGGCGAAAGCCUGACGGAGCAACGCCGCGUGAGUGAUGCAGGUCUUCGGAUCGUAAAACUCUGUUAUUAGGGAAGAACAAAUGUGUAAGUAACUAUGCACGUCUUGACGGUACCUAAUCAGAAAGCCCCGGCUAACUACGUG